rnacentral:lncRNA from 1 species
GGACCGCCACAACCACCUACCUACCACCUCCGGCUACCAUCAGCAGUCGUGCUUAGAUCCAUGGAAAAGCAGUUUGAGGAAUUUAGAAUUUUCCAAGAUAUUUGUAAUCAGUUACGUAUGCCUCAUCAUCACUCUCCACACCUCCCAAGAUUAAAUUCCCCACCUACUUGCAUCCAUUUUCCAAAAUAUUUGUAAUCAGUUACCACAAAAUUUGACCAUAAUAACUAUUAAAGAUCAAUCAUCAAUGGGUGGUUUUGAUAUGGAAUUGUUAGUAGAUGCAACAGCAGGCGCUAUUGGAUCUCUCGCUAGCACCACCAUCUUGUACCCAUACCUGCAAAACUAAGUAUCAAGUUGAAUUACGUACCCCCAAUCUCAGAAAAUACAGAUGAGCUCUUUCACAAUGCCUUACCACACCGCACCCCACAUGCCCUCUAAAUCUUCAGCAAUGAAAGGCGGCUAAGCGUAACUGAAUGGGACCAAACGCUGUGAUUAUUUCGACUGGUAUAGUGGUAUCUUUUCGUGUACGUGAUACCUAUUCUUAGGGGAAAUUUGGUAACGGUUCAAAUCAAGCUGAGACAACCGUAAAUGUCGAUUUAUUUACAUUUAAUUAAAGACAUUCAAUUUCGGUAAAGUGAAGUAAAUAAUGAUGGUCAAUACACUUUGAUUUUCUUUUGGUGUAUGUGCCUAAAUAAUGGCUAUCUUGGUUGUAUCCCAAGUUGAUAAUACUUAUAUCGAUUCACUUAUGUGAAUAUACGGUUUUGCCGCCGCAAAGCACGGCAGGGCUAA